AUGUAAUGCAGUGCAGUCCAUUGUGUUUGAGAUAAAAAUUGUUACUGCGCUCUGAUAGUUGGUGUAAACUGUAUGUAGAGAGAUAGAGAGAGAGAGCGACGGUCCGCCAUGCUUGUUUGGCAGACUUUAAAUUUGUCCUCGCUGUGUUGUCUUCCUCAUUUUCUGGUCUAUCCCAGAACAGUGUUUGGUGGAUUUUUGCCUUCUAUAUUGGACACCUUCUUUAAUCUUUAGAUAAUCUGGUUGAAUCCCCAUUCUGGGCUGAGCAUGCCCUGCUAUGAGUCCGUCAGACAUGCGGCCGCUGCGUUUUCCCGCCUGAAUCGCGUCCCCUUGAUUUAGUUGUAGGUGAUGCACACAGUCUUUUAGAAUGCACCAAGUGAGAGCCUAGUAUGCAGUGAUAUAAGAUUAUUUUGACUUUAAACUUUGUCUGAGAUUCUUGACAUUCUUUGGUGGAAGUGGAAUGAUGAGCUAGCAUAUCAGGUUGAGGGCGGGAGAUGGAUGUUAGGAUGGGUGGGCAGACGGCCAGGCAGCCAUACUGGUUUGGCAUGCAGGCCAUUUUUGUCAGUACAGGUUUUCAGUCAUCGUCGAUGAUGAUGAUGAUGAUGAUGAUGAUUUUUGUGGUGGUGGUGUGCUGCCCACACCCAAGAGAUGGGCGAGGUAUUAUGGGUGGUUUGUGCUUUGUGUGUCUGCUCGUGUGUGAGAUGCAGUGUACUGCAGUUUGGUGUCCUACUUCUGCUCAGUGGCGGUGCACCCAACUCACGUUUGGUGAUGGCUCUCUGUAAUGGCGGACCUGGCUAGUCACUAUGCAUGCUAGUGGCAGGUGGGCAAAGUUGCUUGGUGUCAUGCUUUUGUAGUAGUGUGCGUGUCUCGUAGGGCAUUUUUCUGCGGUCACAAGAUGACAUGCAGGCCUGAAUAUAAGGCAGAAAAAUAUCUUGCCAGUGUGCAAGUAAACGUCGCGCAUGCGCCUCUGACCUGGCAGCAGUGCACUUCAUUUUAUAAACCGCCAAAUUCUCACCAGAUACACACAAAUGCAUGUUUAUGGGGUCUGCCGUUUGGCACCCACGGAUUGUUGUACCAAGAUGCCGGAUUUGCGGUGCAUGUUUAAUGGAUACACGUCCAGACGGUGGGUGUAGCUAUGCUUUUGAAAUUUUCUUUCAUUUGACUGCUGCACUGUUCAAGUGUGUCUUGUUGAAAAGGGUGUCAUUUGGUGGUGUGCGUCUGUUGCACAUAGACGAACGCAGCAUGGCUGAAUGAGGUCAUACUGUCUGGAGGUGCAAAUCACAGAUACUUUGAAGUAUCUGAAAUCAAUUCGCUUUCCAAAAUGGCUGCUUGCAGACUGCAGAUUUAGGUGUCAUCUCUGGGAUAUUUGGAUAUUGUGUUUCUGCCAUCAAGUAACAGGUGCCUUGCAUGGAUCCAGCCACACAACUAACCUGUUAAAGCCGUUUGUGUAAAUUUACACAAUGAUGAUGCAACAACACAGCAAGCCAAAUGGGUCUGAAAUGCAAGAGUGAUAACACUGACAGAUGUUACAAACAAACAUACAGAUGAACAGACGUACUAUUACAUGUCAGAAUGUAAAAAAUGGUAGACAGUCUUGACAGGCAGUUCGACUUGCUUCCCCGAUUGAAAUCCAUGAUGCUGUGUUUCUCUUGGGUGUGAUACGAACGUAACUCUGUGUGCUAGGAACCGUGUGCUGUCAGAAGACACUGUUUGGAAACAGUGUGUUGGCUGUUGGCUGUCAUCGGUGGCAGGACUGGUGUAAAGACUCCAAGUCCAGGAGACCAGAACGGUCUGCAGGGUGGAACUGCAGGUCCUACGCAGCAGGAUCUUAAAACAAAACCAAUGGCAGCGCUCGGGAUGUAAAACCACACGGAACGGCAACGAUUGGAUGAGCUACGCGCUAAAUCAUUGCUGGAUCUGUAUCAUUCAAAAUAUGGAUUUAUAUAAUGUGAUCCCAUGGAAUUAUACAUGGCCAGAUCGGUGGAUUAUAAAACCGUGUAUUUUCAGCAGCACCGGAGAACUACGUGAUUCUAGGUCUGAGGCAGAAUUAACCCUGGUGUGUCAAUGCUUGAUCACCAUCGACUCCCUUGGGAAGACAAUCAUCAGUUAAUGUUUGCAUUUACCAUAGGUUUGACACCCAAUAGCCGAUGUAUUUUUCGUGCUGGGGUGUUAUGUUGUUAAACAUCUGUUCUAUUUUGUUUAUUCUAUAGCCUGGGAGACAAGAUUAUGUUUUGGGUAGGAUGUAGCCGGGGUGUUAUGUUGUUAAACAUCUAUUCUAUUCUGUCUAUUUUAUAGCCUAGGAGACAAGAUUAUGUGUAGGCAGGAUGUAGGUGUGAUGGGUUGCAGGAUCGAUCCCCAUCAGUGGACCCACUGGCUUCUAUACCCUGUCCCAGCCAUUGUCCAUUGACAACAAGUUGUCCUGGAGUUGGGGUGGAGUUCACUGGUGGAGAACUAGCAUGAUGGCCAAUGGAUGAUGUCCUCGAUUGAUUUCUUUUGAUGUUUUCACUUAGUGCUACACAACUGUUGCAUAUCAAAGGCCAUGAUAUGUAUGUUGUCCUGUCUUUGGAAAAGUGCCUAUAAAAGAUAUUUUUCUGCAAUUCACAAAGAAUAAGAGUAGCAAGGGUCACAAUUACUAUAUAUUAAAGACGAAGGUUAAUGGUUAUGAGAGAGAACGAGGGUUAAUGGUUAGUGAGAGAAGCUAGGGGUUAAUCGUUAUGAGAGAGAAUGAAGGUUAAUGGUUAGUGAGAGAGAACGAGGGUUAAUGGUGAGAAAGAGAAUGAGGGUUAGUGAGAAAGAAUGUCUGUUAAUGGUUAGUGAGAGAGAUUCAGUGGAUCCAUUCAGCUGAUUGGGUUGUUUUUUUGUUCCAGCCAGUGCACGACAACUGGUCAAA
rnacentral:lncRNA from 1 species